rnacentral:lncRNA from 1 species
CCCAGGGCCUGCUUCCCGGAGCUGGGUUCUUCCCCAGGACUGAUGAUUCACACCACUGGGGCCUUUUCACUUCUCCUUUGGGCUAAAAAUACAGGGACCCAGGCAUCCAGCUGGGCCAGGCUGCCCCACAGAUUGCACAAUGGCCCACAUUGGUGUUCCGCUGACGCAGGGCCUGGGGACAGGCGGGGGCCUGGGUUGCUCCCCAAU